CAUGUUUGACUGACCACUAAAAUUGUACUAAACAACAUGCGUGUAACGCCUCAAAAAUUAAUUAUUAAAAAGAACUAUCAUGCUACAAGACUUCAAUAUACUAAAUGAAUGAUUUGCAUUUGACCAAGACCGACCAGUCAUGCUCGAUUUGAACAAAGAAGUCUACAUAGGUCAGCAGAGGGUGGAAAUAAAACCACAAACCUCUUACAUCUGUUUGAAGUUGCUGAAGUCACAUGCUAAUUAGUAUGACAUGUGUAAAACCUAGCUGAUGAUAUUCAUCGCAACAAGAAUACAAGUGGCAUCCAAACGCACUAAGCAUGAUGCAUGGUAUAAUUAGAGAGCUCUUGUGCCCGCCUAGUAAACCGUCUAUCUUUGGCGAAAGACACUCCUCGA
rnacentral:lncRNA from 1 species